ACACAAGCAUCUUUGUUUGGGCCUAGAGCCUCCUGCUUGUUGAGCAUUUCUAAGCUUGCAGAGGACAUGUUAUCAAAUGGGGUGGAAUUUCUUUUUGAAGAUAAAAAAACAGAAUGAUAAUUUAUGUUACUAUAAGAAACGUAAUGCCCAGUAGACCAGAUUAUUAUGUUGGCUGCUGAGAACAUUCUCUCCUUAAGCUCAGUCUACAUCAGAAACCAAAUUAUCAUCAGAAGAUUGUUUAUUUAGAGCUCAGGGAAUCAGGGCAAACUGACUUAGAUGUUGGUGCUGUCAAAGGAGGAGAACCUGGUGUAUCCAUGUCUGCUAUGGGGACUGACCUGUUGGUAAAAUCAAAUACUUGUAUUCAACAGCUAGAAUAUAUUUCUCCCUGGACACAAUUAUAAAUUUUGUCUGCCAUGAGGCCCCUUUGCCAGAGGCAAAGCAUCAAUGGAUGUAAUAUCCUGGAAUCAGCUAUUUUUUAACUACUGAUUGAAAUCCCAGGUAUAUUUGUUUUAACUUAGAAAGGGGAAAAAUUAGUGUUUGGGAGUGAAGUCCAUAUUAUAGCCUCUGCAUCCGUGAACAGGAUUGUGCAUCCAUAUGGACGUUUGACUACCACUCUGAGACGGAUUUGGGAGUUCUCUGCACUCUGAGAGAUUAUUUUUCACAAUGAACUCUAUUUUAAUCUUUAUUGUCUUUUCUUAAACCAUAGAAGUAGCUCAUCUACUAAAAAUUAAAACAGAUAAACAUAUAAAUUAAAACAUGAAACUGUCCUCUUCUCACCCAUCUGUACAGUUAGCUACUGUUACCAGUCUAUUGUAGUUUAUGAACAUACAAACAUAAACGAUAUACAUAGUCACAUUUUUAUCAGAAAAAGAACUCAGUUCAUAUAUUGUUGUAUUUUGAAACUUUUAUUUCACUUAAAAUACAUCAUAUGCAUCUUUCCAUGUAUCUCUUACCUCAUUUAACUUUGUUCGUCGUGUCUUUCUCUGUAGAUGAUCGACAUUUUAAGGCAGUCAUAUCACUCAGCCUUUCCCUUUAUGGCUUCUAGGUUUUGAGUCAUACUGAGGUAGGCUUUUCCCAACCCAAAAUUUUAAAAUAACUUUUUAUAUUUUCUUCAAGCUUUUAAAAAUAACUCUGUGUGUGUGUGUGUGUGUGUGUAGGUGUGUGUUUAAUUCUUCUGGUAUGUGCUUUUGUGUGUUUUAUGAAGUAGAGAUGUAAUUUUACUUCUUUCUCCCAGCCCCAGACAUUGAAUAUGCCGUCUUUUCCUCCACUUUUUGGCAGCACUUUUCAUGCAUUAUUAGUCAUAGGUUAUUUACCAUUGUUAUUUUUCUCUAUAAAUGGGAACAUUAUUGCUGUUUUGGUAUCUUUGAGAUAUGAUGCACUGAGGACUGUUGGUGAAGUCCUAUGCCACAGAACCUGUUUUAUAAAAGAUGAAAUUAAUAAUUUUGGGUUGUGGUACUAGUAAUUCAUUGUGGUAUGGGUCUAUUAUGAAGACAUUUAAAACACCAAAAGGAUAAAUACAGUGCACUUUGGGCUAUGAAAAUGCCACAAUUUGUAAAAGUUAGUCUAGCAGGUGACUUACAUGAAUGUGACAACACUUCACUCAAAGAAAUUUUAAUGCUGUCCUGGGACAUAGGACAAUGAAUGAGAUAAUCAGUGUAUUUGAGUGUUUGAAAAUCUGCUAGCUAAUUCAGUCUUCCAAGCAGGAGAGUUAUUAUAUAUUGUCAUGUGUGCCUUGGAACCAAAGAUAAGAAACUGAUCUUUUUGAAACACGCGAUGAACUGUCAUAUCUAGAGGGCUUGAGCACUAUGAAUUAAGACAUUUCAUUCAUUGGGGGACACUUACAAGAUAAAAUAAUAUUCUUAUCAAAAAACUGGAAGAGAUACAGAUUUAAACACACAUUUUGGUACAAAUAGAGAAAAUAAUAUAAUGAAUAAUAUAAUGAAAUGAUAUCAGUGGGAUAUUGACACUGAGACAAUUGGUUGAAGUUGCAAUUGAUGAAAACAUUCUGUGGAUGAGUUUGAUAGAUGAUACUUCUUUCACCAGUAAUAUAUGUAUUUUUAAGAAAAAAAUUAGAAAAUGAUGUUAGCACAUGGUCUCUACAGUAUAGUGCUCCCUAAAAACUUGCUAGAAUAGAGAAAAGCUAUUAAUUUUUUGUAUUUAUCUUAUGUCUCACCACCUCUUCUAAUUUGCUUAUUGACUUUGUGAUUUUUAAAUAAUCUUUUGUGUUUUAGACGAAUACAAUCAUAUCAAUUGUAAAUAGAAAUUAGUUUUAACUUUUCCCAAUUUUACGCUAAUUAUUUAUUUUCUUAUCUUAUUGUAAUAGCUUUAAUCUCCAAAAAUACUGUUGAAUAAAAAUGGAGAUUGUGGAUAACCUUGACUCGUUCCUGGUUUUAGUGGAAAUGACUUUAUCAUUUCAUGAUUAGAAUGAGGAUUGCUGUUGAUUAUUGGUA
ensembl:lncRNA